GACGAACGCUGGCGGCAUGCUUAACACAUGCAAGUCGAACGGAAAGGCCCUGCUUUUGUGGGGUGCUCGAGUGGCGAACGGGUGAGUAACACGUGAGGAACCUGCCCUUGACUUUGGGGUAACUUCAGGAAACUGGGGCUAAUACCGGGUAUGAGCUCCUUCUGCAUGGGGGUGGUGGGAAAAUUUCGGCGUUUGGGGAUGGACUCGCGGCGUAGCAGCUUGUUGGUGGGGUAGUGGAGUACCAACGCGUUGACGGGUAGCCGGACUGAGAGGGUGACAGGCCACAAUGGGACUGAGAUAGGGGCCAGACGGCUACGGGAGGCAGCAGUGGAGAAUAUUGCACAAUGGGCGGAAGCCGUAUGGAGGAACGUCGGGUGCGGGAUGACGGCUUGCGGGGUGUAAACCGCUUUCGCCUGUGACGAAGAGUGAGUGACGGUAAUGGGUCAAGAAGCACCGGCUAACUACGUG
rnacentral:rRNA from 1 species